AUUGAACGCUGGCGGCAUGCCUUACACAUGCAAGUCGAACGGUAACAGGUCUUCGGAUGCUGACGAGUGGCGAACGGGUGAGUAAUACAUCGGAACGUGCCCGAUCGUGGGGGAUAACGGAGCGAAAGCUUUGCUAAUACCGCAUACGAUCUACGGAUGAAAGCAGGGGACCGCAAGGCCUUGCGCGGACGGAGCGGCCGAUGGCAGAUUAGGUAGUUGGUGGGAUAAAAGCUUACCAAGCCGACGAUCUGUAGCUGGUCUGAGAGGACGACCAGCCACACUGGGACUGAGACACGGCCCAGGCUCCUACGGGAGGCAGCAGUGGGGAAUUUUGGACAAUGGGCGAAAGCCUGAUCCAGCCAUGCCGCGUGCAGGAUGAAGGCCUUCGGGUUGUAAACUGCUUUUGUACGGAACGAAAAGACUCUUUCUAAUAAAGAGGGUCCAUGACGGUACCGUAAGAAUAAGCACCGGCUAACUACGUG
rnacentral:rRNA from 1 species